GAGAGCUGCCAGUCCGCGAGUGCGUCUUCCUGGAAGGGGUGGGGCACAGUGAAGUCCGCUGAAACCCAAAAGCCUAGGGGGAGGGAGAAUGGAGAAACCAAGUUGUCACUGCUCUGAUGAGGCACAAAUACUUCUUCAAACCAAUGGGAUUAAGUUCUGUGGUGAUGCUUAGGGAGAAGCACAGUACACUGACAGGAAGUGGGAGAACCUGAAGGUCCUCUGACCUUACAAAGAAUCAGAACUGGACAGAGUUAGUCUAUGAUGCAUGGCUCUUUUUGUAUUUAUUCUACUGUGGUUCUCUGAGCUUCAAAGACACAUAGUGUGAAUCCACAAUCAAGGAUAACUUUAUGAAGAGCCCAACUACAGCUUCGUACCCAGCCAAGACUUUUGGGAUUGCUAUUUUGCCAGUUGUCUACAUUAACUGUUGUUUAUUGAACAAUAUGAUCUGUAACACAAAGUUCAUUAUAAAAAAAUGAAAUAAAUACUUGUCAUAAAUGUUAUCUGUUGGAAUACAGAAAUAUCUUUAUUUCAAUUGGUGAUUUUAUUUUAUUGUUUUCUUUGAGAUAUGAGAAGGUGGAAAUGAAGAGAGCACUAUGGAAUUAAAUCAAGGUGUGACUGAAGCUCCUGGUAAACAGAAAGGACAAGAAAAGCAAUCUAAUUAAAGGCUGCUAUGGCUACUCUAAUCACAGUUACCAGGAAAUAGACUUUCAUCUUUUCCCAGGUCUCCAUUUUCCCACUUGGUGGAACAGGCUGAAAUGAACAUGUAUGAUGUGAUUUAUUAACUACAUUGGUUUCGACUUGAGUCAGCAGGAGGAGAAACAAGAAGCUCACAAAUUCUUUUGAGUGUGCAGGUCAAAGAAUUUUGCAUACCACAAAUUCCUUCUUUACUGUUUCUUCCUUAAUCCAUGGAACAAACUCCUCCCAAAAAGAGACAGUUCACAUUCGGCUAUACCUCUAAAUACUCUUUGCCGUCGUUCUUAAAGAUUUUCCAUAAUACCAGCAGGGUGUGGUUGAUGCCUCAAUUGCAGGCUCUGUAGGAGCAGGGCUUGUACAGAUUUAGCAGUAACUGAGACCUUACUCCAGAUCGGCCAUACUCCCACUACAUUCUUAACCUUGAACUGACAUGAAAUCUGGGACAUACCAUUCUUGGGCUCUGCCCCUGUCUCAGGCCAUUUGUGCUGCUAUAAUCAAAUAACUGAGACAAGGCAAUUUAUAAUAAACAGAAAUUUGUUUCUU